GAAGAAGAAGAAACGACGGACCUCCGCCGAUUGUAACCACUGCUGCCGCUGCCGAUGUAAAUGGAUCCAGAGCGUUUUUUUCUGUCACGGUUGUUCCUGCCGCCGACGGUCCAGGAGAUGCAAGGCGGCGCCGGUGUGUUGUUUCGUCCGGCCUGAUUGGGGAAAGCUGACCCGGUUCUUCUGCUGCACCUCCUCCAAGAAGAGGAAGCCGAAAAUCGGCGAAGAUAAAGAGACGGAUUUCGGAAGCUCGUUAGGGCGGCGGCGUGAGGAGGAGGAAGAAGAAGACGGUUUCUACGGCGGCGGCGACG
rnacentral:lncRNA from 1 species